rnacentral:rRNA from 1 species
GAUGAACGCUGACGGAAUGCUUAACACAUGCAAGUCGAUGGGGAAGUGGUGCCUGCACCAUGGUAACCAUGGCGGACGGGUGAGUAACGCGUAAGGAACUUGCCUGCGGGACUGGGAUAACAGCAGGAAACUGCUGAUAAUACCGGAUAAGGUCAUUAAGCUGCAUAGCUUAGUGAUGAAAGGAGACGCCUGCGGAGAGCCUUGCGUCCUAUUAGCUAGUUGGAGGGGUAACGGCCCACCAAGGCGAAGAUAGGUAGCCGGCCUGAGAGGGUGGACGGCCACAAGGGGACUGAGAUACGGCCCUUACUCCUACGGGAGGCAGCAGUGGGGAAUAUUGGACAAUGGGGGCAACCCUGAUCCAGCAAUUCUGUGUGCACGAAGACGGUUUUCGGAUUGUAAAGUGCUUUCAGCAGGGAAGAAGGAAGUGACGGUACCUGCAGAAGAAGCGACGGCUAAAUACGUG